rnacentral:misc_RNA from 1 species
UCACCCCUCAAGCCCCUGGCUUGGUGUUGGACGGUUUGGUGGAGGCCCCCUCGGGGGCUCCUGCCCCUCCCAAAGACAAUGACGGCGGCCUCGUUGGACCCCCGGUACACUGAGUUCUUCACGGGACACGUAUCGGACACAUGGGUUUGCGGGACACGGUCUGCCUCCCCUCAGGGAGAAUCUUCCUAA